rnacentral:rRNA from 1 species
GACGAACGCUGGCGGCGUGCUUAACACAUGCAAGUCGAGCGGAGCGGCGAACGGGUGAGUAACGCGUGAGUAACUGCCCCCCUCUCUGGGAUCACAGUUGGAAACGGCUGCUAAUACCGGAUAGUGGGGGAUGACUCGCGUCCUAUCAGCUUGUUGGUGGGGUAGUGGCCUACCAAGGCGACGACGGGUAGCCGGCCUGAGAGGGCGACCGGCAACAAUGGGCUGAGAGACGGCGCAAACUCCUACGGGGGGCAACAGUGGGGAAUAUUGCACAAUGAGGGAGACCGUGAUGAGGAAGCGCGCGUGCGGAAUGACGGUCUACGGGUUGUAAACCGCUUUAAGCCAUGACGCGGUAGUGGCAGAAGAAGCACCGGCUAACUACGUGCCAGCAGCCGCGGUAAUAC